AUUGAACGCUGGCGGCAUGCUUUACACAUGCAAGUCGAACGGUAACAGGGUGCUUGCACCGCUGACGAGUGGCGAACGGGUGAGUAAUGCGUCGGAACGUGCCGAGUAGUGGGGGAUAACGCAGCGAAAGUUGUGCUAAUACCGCAUACGUACUGAGGUAGAAAGUGGGGGACCUUCGGGCCUCACGCUAUUCGAGCGGCCGACGUCUGAUUAGCUAGUAGGUGGGGUAAAGGCUCACCUAGGCGACGAUCAGUAGCGGGUCUGAGAGGAUGAUCCGCCACACUGGGACUGAGACACGGCCCAGACUCCUACGGGAGGCAGCAGUGGGGAAUUUUGGACAAUGGGCGAGAGCCUGAUCCAGCCAUGCCGCGUGUCUGAAGAAGGCCUUCGGGUUGUAAAGGACUUUUGUCAGGGAGGAAAUCCCUAGUGCUAAUAACACUGGGGGAUGACAGUACCUGAAGAAUAAGCACCGGCUAACUACGUGCCAGCCGCCGCCGUAA
rnacentral:rRNA from 1 species